rnacentral:rRNA from 1 species
UACGUAGGGUCCAAGCGUUAUCCGGAAUCACUGGGCGUAAAGCGUGCGUAGGUGGCGUGUUAAGUGUGAUGUUAAAUCGUGUGGCUCAACCAUAUCGAUGUGUCGCAUACUGGCAUGCUAGAGGACAGCAGAGGCAAGUGGAAUUUGUAGUGUAGCAGUGAAAUGCGUAGAUAUUACAAGGAACACCAAUGGCGAAGGUAGCUUGCUGGGCUACUCCUGACACUGAGGUACGAAAGCGUGGGGAGCGAACAGG